rnacentral:misc_RNA from 1 species
UCCGGUUUGUCACCGGCAGUCUCUCUAGAGUCCCCGCCAUGACGCGCCGGCAACUAGAGACAGGGGUUGCGCUCGUUGCGGGACUUAACCCAACAUCUCACGACACGAGCUGACGACGGCCAUGCAGCACCUGUGCAAGCUCCCCUUGCGGGGUCGUCCCACUUUCAUGGUUCUACUACUUGCAUGUCAAGGCCAGGUAAGGUUCUUCGCGUUGCAUCGAAUUAAGCCACAUACUCCACCGCUUGUGCAGGCCCCCGUCAAUUUCUUUGAGUUUUAAUCUUGCGACCGUACUUCCCAGGCGGAGUGCUUAAUGCGUUAGCUGCGGCACGGAGAGGGUUGAAGACCUCCCCACACCUAGCACUCAACGUUUACGGCUGGGACUAC